rnacentral:lncRNA from 1 species
UUACACAAGACGACAUAAAAACCCUAGCACUUCAUCUCCCUUAUUACAUAAAAAACAAACCCUAUGCUAACCCUUCUUCUUCAUGAACUCACACAAGAAUACCAUUGAACUCCAUAGCCAGAGCCACUGGACUCCCUUCACCAAGGAGGCAUCCACCGCCGGACCACCCCGAAAUCUGCUGCUCACUCCAUCAUCCUCGCCACCAGCUAAACCUUAACCUACUACCAUCGCCGCCCCUCGCCGGCAAUCACCACAACCACCAAUUGCCGCCCCACCACCUCUCCAUCUUCAGCCUUGGAACAAGACAUAUACACGGUAUAAAAACUGAGACCUCUAACCUAGAACCUUAAGACACCAACGACCACUGCUCGUUUCGGCCAGCCGCCUGCCAACCUUACUCAAAACGAUCCACCUUCUUUAACCCCCAAACCGCCAUUAGCAGCAUCCAUCUCCUCCUCUAACCAAAAAAAAAUCGUCAACCUCCUUUCACUCACCAAUCCGCCGUCGUCCAUCUCCCAACCCAAACUUGUCAGACUUACAACGACCACUAGACCUCCACGCCGCCAACCAGUGACCCUUUCUAUUCUCCAACGAUUAGUCGUCCAUCACCAUAAAAAUGGCUCCUAAUAGAAAUCCUUUACCCACGCAUAGACGUAGCAGCACAAUGAGAUAACGAGGCAGUUCGGUCAGGGUUUGACGAGGUUUUCCGGCGAGGUUCCAGUUUGAGUCUUGUGCGCGGUUCAGUUGCCUAGCAUCCUUUAACUGUCCAAAUUGGAUUUCAUAUCUAUUCGAGGUUUAUUUAUCGUUUUUUAACUAUUUUAGCUUAAUUCAAUGCUCCUGGUAGUCUCGUUAAUCACUUUUUAAUCCGUUGUGUUGAUAUUUUGAAUUAAUGUUUCAUUUUGUUUGUGAUGCCUUAGUAGAAUUUGUUCGCGCGUUUUUGGUUAUGCGUAUUACUGUUCGUGUGUUUCAUUACUGUUUGAUUUCUCUUGGGCAUUUUUAAGAGGUUGAUCCAUGUUAGUCAUUUGGGAUUCUUUGAAUUGUUAACGGACAUUCUUGUGAAUUUGGACGAAUCUGGCGGUUAGUUAUUGGGUUUAAGAGAACAUAAGUUACGGAACUAAGUAAAACAUAAGUUGUUUAUGUUCUGAAUUUCUCAUUUACAUAGAUCUCGUUACUAAUUUAUGACUAGGAGCAUGCUUAGGCCGUCAUCACUCGGGUAGGAAAGCCUUAGGAUUUUGUUAGUUUCGAGGUGAAAGGUC